AGUGAACGCUGGCGGUAGGCCUAACACAUGCAAGUCGAACGGCAGCACAGAGGAGCUUGCUCCUUGGGUGGCGAGUGGCGGACGGGUGAGGAAUACAUCGGAAUCUACUCUGUCGUGGGGGAUAACGUAGGGAAACUUACGCUAAUACCGCAUACGACCUACGGGUGAAAGCAGGGGACCUUCGGGCCUUGCGCGAUUGAAUGAGCCGAUGUCGGAUUAGCUAGUUGGCGGGGUAAAGGCCCACCAAGGCGACGAUCCGUAGCUGGUCUGAGAGGAUGAUCAGCCACACUGGAACUGAGACACGGUCCAGACUCCUACGGGAGGAAGCAGUGGGGAAUAUUGGACAAUGGGCGCAAGCCUGAUCCAGCCAUACCGCGUGGGUGAAGAAGGCCUUCGGGUUGUAAAGCCCUUUUGUUGGGAAAGAAAUCCAGCUGGCUAAUACCCGGUUGGGAUGACGGUACCCAAAGAAUAAGCACCGACUAACUUUGUGCCAGCCGCCGCGGUAA
rnacentral:rRNA from 1 species